rnacentral:snRNA from 1 species
AUGCUCGCUUCAGCAGCACAUGCACUAAGGUUGGAAUGGCACAGAGAAGAUUAGCAUGGACCCCGUGCAAGAAUGACACAAAAGUUCAUGAAGCAAUCUGUAAUUUU